GGGGAUUUAGCUCAGUGGUAGAGCGCUUGCCUAGCAAGCACAAGGCCCUGGGUUCAGUCCCCA
rfam:Rattus norvegicus chromosome 3, whole genome shotgun sequence.